rnacentral:rRNA from 1 species
UACGGGGGGUGCAAGCGUUAAUCGGAAUUACUGGGCGUAAAGCGCGCGUAGGUGGUUCAUUAAGUUGGCUGUGAAAGCCCCGGGCUCAACCUGGGAUGGUCAGUCAAAACUGGUGAACUAGAGUACAGUAGAGGGGUGUGGAAUUUCCGGUGUAGCGGUGAAAUGCGUAGAGAUCGGAAGGAACACCAGUGGCGAAGGCGGCACCCUGGACUGAUACUGACACUGAGGUGCGAAAGCGUGGGGAGCAAACAGG